CAACCCUCAAGCUUUAGCUUGGUGUUGGGUGAGGUCCCCUUCUAGGACCCUCCCGUAACCCGUAGGCGGUCAUCAUCCGUACUCCUCUAGCGUAGCAGGCUUAUGGCACUCGCUAGGGGAUGGGGUGAAGACCAUGCCUUUAUAACCUUUUCAAAG
rnacentral:misc_RNA from 1 species